AAGCAAUGUGACUGUUUCCCAGGCAUAGGAGCUGGGUUCCUUUCCAGGGAGCAUUGCCUCCUGUGCAACAGCCAGCUCUUCUCUGAGGAUACUCCCAUCAGUAUGAAGACAGUUUUAUAACCUGGGAUCCAGAAAUACCAAAAUCCUGUACCUGACCAUCCCCAUGUUCUCUGACAAGGCUCUGGAGGAAAAUGCAUGAGCAAGAAACAAUGAAUGAAGAAAACCAAGGUGAGCUAUCUAUAGCGUUAAACAUGUAUUAUUCCCACGGCGGCUGCAAAAAGACAUCUGAAGGACACUUACCGAGAAAGCAAAAAGCAUUUCUAUCUGUGGUGGUUGUUCUCCUUACAGCACCUCCGCUAGUGAUGACAGUCAAGGUUGAAGCCAAAAUCCAACCUUCAAAUUCUAGGAUUGCAACUAAGAUUGGUGAAGCAAAGUUUGGAGAGCCAUGCAGAAAUAUGAUUGAACAAAAAGAGUAUCAUCCAAUUCUAACAGACUGAGUGAGGAAACGCAGCAAGCCCUGUCUAUCUGGAUUUUCCUUGGUCUCUCGAGCAUGCUUUCCUUCCUCCUGAGUAUGGAGUAGCACCCUCUCUGGAAUAGGGGCCUUAUGACCUACAGUCUUCCCUAAGAUUUUUCUCUGCGAGGGAAUCAAACUGCUCUAUGAAGCUCUAUGAAGAGGCUUAUAUGGAAAGAUACAGAGACUUUCUGCCAGCAACCAUGUGGUCAGCCCACACAGAAGUGGAUGUUCCAGGCCAGGUCAAACCUUCAUUCACUGCAGCCCCAGCUGAACUCUCAACUACAACCUCAUGAGAAUUCCUCAGAAGAAUCACCCAGCAAAGCCGCUCCUGAAUUCCUAACUCACAGGAAUUGCGAGUAAUAAAUGUUUGGUAUUUAAUCCACUAAGUUAGAAGUAAUUUCUUAUACAAUAUGAAUAACUAAUACAGAUUUUAAUGGUUUUAAUAAAGGAUUAGAUUAAAAUUAUAUUCAAAGGUUCUAAUGCUAAAAAGGACUCUUUUGUUUCCUAAGAAUACUUUAUUAAUAUUUUUAGCUGUGGUGCACUCUAUAUAAAUGGUCAAUGAAAAGAGAAUUUUCAGGUUGGAGAAUCUUUCAGUGAGUCCUCAAAGCAUAUCAUAAAGUUGGCUGGCUAGUCUUUUCUCACCUAAGACUGUCUUGCUAAUUCCGCUGAAUUCCCAUUCUCUUGCCACCUCCCCUCCUCCACACCAAUUCAACUGUAUUCCAUCAUUUUCAGCCUGCCUUGCUCCAAUUUCUAAUGGAAAUGCAGUUGACUCUUGAACAACAUGGGUUUGAGCCACACGAAUCUGCUUGUAUGCAGAUUUUCUUCCAUCUCUGCCACCGCUGAGGCAGCAAGACCAACCCUUCAUCUUCCUCCUUUUCCUCAGCCUACUCAAAGUAAAGAUGACAAGGAAGACCUUUAUGAUGAUCCAUCUCCACAUAACGAAUAGUAAAUAUAUUUUCUCUUCCUUGUGAUUUUCUUAAUAACAUUUUCUUUUCUCUAACUUUAUUGUAAGAAUACAGCAUACAAUACGUAUAUAAGAUACGUGUUAAUUGGCUGUUUAUGUUAUUAGUAAGGCCUCUGGUCAACAGUAAGCUACUAGUUGUUAAGUUUUGGGGGAGUAAAAGUUAUAUGUGAAAUUUUGACUGCACAGUAAUCAGUUCCUCUAACCCUCAUAUUGUUCAAGGGUUCAUGGUAUUACCAAAUAAUACUACAAAUAUUUUUGGAUAUCUUUAACAACUCAAAAAAUAAAGCAUAUAUUGUGAAUAAAUAUAUUAUCAUCUCUAACACAAAAACAUUAUCAUGAAUGUGAUUUGAUGGAAUCAAAGACAGGUGUGGGGAGAUGGGAGGAAGGAGUGGGAAUGAUUAAGCUCCUUAGAAAUUUCCAUCAGCUUCUAUCAAGCCACUUCAGUAAUCAUACCAUCCUUGUAAAAACAGUAUGUGCUUCUUAUAGAAAUAAAGCUUUAAGACAAAUUCCCUAGUCCCUAUUUGGAAAGGGAUUGAAUCCCCCAAGCCCCUUAAAUGUAGAAAUUCCAUAUACGCUAUUGCUAACCAUGGUCAUACUUGUUAGUUAAUAUUCCUAAAGUCAGCCCAAGUAUGAGACUAUGUAUUAUAAGUUAAUAGGAUGAGCAUCUGAUAGUAAUUAAUAUUUUGACCAGCUUAAUUACUGAGUCAAUAAUUUAAUUGUCUUUGAUCAAUUAAAUUAACUAGUGCAAGAGUCAUCCUCCAAGUUUGGCAGUAAAGGAUAACUUAGAAUAAUUAAUGUCCAACUGUGGCUUAUUUCCAAAGACAAUUAAUGAUUUGUAGCUCCUUACAAAUUUUACUGUUGUUAUGGAUUAAUUGGUAUCUAACUUUGAAUUAGACAGAAUCAAAUAAAAUAUAUUAAUUAUUCAGCCAUGACAUAAUUUACAGAACCUAGUCACCAUCACUGAAUAUUUCUUUAAUUGGUAUAUAGAAACCAGAAUACUGAGCCAGCUCAAUAACUGCUAAGUUUUUAAAAUACGUGUAGUUUCUGUUGGCUUCUUACCAGGAUUUUCUUCCAUGUACCUACAUAAUUUUCAUAGGACUUGAAAGUUUUUGCUUUGAUUUUAAUUACUACCUGCAGUAUCUUCUCAUUAAUCAGUUUUCAAGCAAUUAAUUGUAUCAUAAGUGGAAAGUAUUGACCGAAUUACUUAAAGGCCAUUUCCAGAAUUAGACAUGGCAAUUAAUUUCCUGGUGUCUAUGUUAAUAAGUUGUCAUAGAUUGUUUGACAGACAGUGAUUACAAUCUACAUCAGCCAUGCAAAUACACAAAGCAGGCUUAUCGGCUUGCCUAAUAAUAAAGGAAGGCUGGGUUUUAAAAGGAGAAAGGAGGUAAAAUCUGAGCCAACUACAUUGUUGGGGAGGCAGUACUAUCUCAGUCACAAAGAUGUAGCAUUGCUAGAGAUUGUCAAAGCCUUUUCCAGGUCUUGAAAAAUUCAGUUUAGAAUAUGUUCUUGGCUGCCCUAAAUUCAACCAAGCAUGACCACAUUUCUACCAUGAUUGCAAGAUACAUAUUAUUACAUAUGGAAAAAUGUUUAUGUCUUAGGAAAUUUUUUGACUUUGCUAUGGAAAAGAUAUCUGAAGUCCAUUUUUAUAAAAAAUGUUAAUUUAUUUCUAAAUUGUAUCCACUAACAUAGGCACUCUUGUAUAAUUCAUUAAUUUUUUCAGCCAUUUCUCUUUUUUUGCCAAACCAAGGUAUGUAAUGUUUGUUUAGUUCCUUAAAAGUGGUUUGUAAUUAUGAUUUUAAUGAACAUAUUUUCAUGUAUGAAAUAUUUCAAACAGAUUGUAAAAUACAGAGUGUAGUAUGACAAACACUAAUGAGUAUCUCAGGUAGAUUUAAUAGAUGUAUACAUUUUUGUUUUCACUUCCAAUCUCUUUAUUAAAACAAUUAUUUCUAUGAAUUUUUAAAUACCUUUUCACAAAUAUAAUUAUGUGGCAUAAUAUAUAAUUAUAUAACUAUCUAUAUAGUUGCAACUGUUAGAUUUUUUACAUAUUUGACUUAAGAGGUAUUUCAAAGUUGCCCAUUAUCUCUAUGUAUAUUUUUAAAAAUUUAUUAGGUGACAUAGGCUUAAAUAUAUAUACAUGUGUGCAUGUGUGCAUAUACAUGUAUAUAUAGUAUUAAACAUAUUUAUGUAAAUGUAUAUGUAUACAUGGGAUUAAAUAUAUGUACUUGUGUGUAUACACACAUGCACAUAUAAAAUAUAAUACUGUGUCAUCUAAUAGACUUUUAAAAUGUAACCAGUCUAGUGCGUAUUCCAAUGUUUUAACUUGCAUUUUCAAUAACGUAUUUGUGCAUCAUUUAAAAUAUUUAUUGAACAUUAAUUUUUGCUCAUCCAUUGAUUGACUAAUAUUGCUUCACUCAUUAUUAUAGGAUUUUUUCUUAUUUAUUAUAGGAAUGCAUAAUAUGUUCCGGAUGUUCAUUUUUUGUUUAUUAUACAUAAUAAAAAUUUACUUCCCA
rnacentral:lncRNA from 10 species